GAUGAAGAACGUAGUGAAAUGCGAUAAUUAAUGUGAAUUGCAGAAUUCAGUGAAUCAUCGAAUCUUUGAACGCACAUUGCGCCCGCGAGUAUUCUCGCGGGCAUGCCUGUCCGAGCGUCAUUUCAACCCUCAGGGCCCGCCUGCUUCGGCAGGCGCGGCGCUGGUGUUGGGGAUCGGCCUAACCGCCGUCCCCCAAAUACAGUGGCGGUCUCGCUGCAGCCUCCCCUGCGUAGUAGCAACACUCGCAUGCGGAGCGCGGCGCGGCCACGCCGUAAAACCCCCGACUUUCUGAACGUUGACCUCGGAUCAGGUAGGAAUACCCGCUGAACUUAAGCAUAUCAAUAAGCGGAGGA
rnacentral:misc_RNA from 1 species